rnacentral:rRNA from 1 species
CCUACGGGUGGCAGCAGUGGGGAAUAUUGGACAAUGGGCGAAAGCCUGAUCCAGCCAUGCCGCGUGUGUGAAGAAGGCCUUCGGGUUGUAAAGCACUUUCAGUGGGGAAGAAAGCCUUGGGGCUAAUACCCUCGAGGAAGGACAUCACCCACAGAAGAAGCACCGGCUAACUCCGUGCCAGCAGCCGCGGUAAUACGGAGGGUGCGAGCGUUAAUCGGAAUUACUGGGCGUAAAGCGCGCGUAGGCGGUCUGAUAAGCCGGUUGUGAAAGCCCCGCGCUCAACCUGGGAACGGCAUCCGGAACUGUCAGGCUAGAGUGCAGGAGAGGAAGGUAGAAUUCCCGGUGUAGCGGUGAAAUGCGUAGAGAUCGGGGGGAAUACCAGUGGCGAAGGCGGCCUUCUGGACUGACACUGACGCUGAGGUGCGAAAGCGUGGGUAGCAAACAGGAUUAGAUACCCGUGUAGUC